rnacentral:lncRNA from 1 species
CAAAUUGAAAGCAAUAAUAAAUUCUAUGUUGGAAAGAAUUAUAAAAGUGAUGAUGUGAUUAUUAAUUUUUAUUUACAUAUGAAAUAAAUGUUUAGUAGAUAUAAUGUGGGGAUGUUUUAACAAAAUAUAAACUUGUGGAUCAACUUUUGUAUUUAAAAAUCUCAAAUCAUGAUAUGGAAUUCCCAUAUCAUGAUGAGAAUAUGAUAUUCCAUUUCAUGACAUGGAAUCAUGAGAUGGAAUCAGCGUGAAAUCGCAUGCCCAAACGUUAAUUUC